UAUGCCAUGGAGUAAUCAAAACCGGUUAUGGUCAAAUAUUGUUGAACAUCUGAAUACAAGACAUCAGUUUGACUAUGGCGCGUUUGUAAAUUUCCACCAGGAUGAAGAAACUCAGUACCAAAAUGCAGUUGAAGACUCAACUAACGCGACCACCUGAAUUGUGCAAUCUUCACACACUGGAAAGACAAUGAUUGCUUAAUAAAACAAAAAGUAAUAAA